GCCUAGAUGUCGGAAUUGGUAAACGGGGAUGACUCAAAAUCAUCUGAGUGCAANCUCUUGUGGGUUCAAAUCCCACUCUAGGUA